rnacentral:rRNA from 1 species
AUUGAACGCUGGCGGCAGGCCUCACACAUGCAAGUCGGGCGAGCUGCGGCCGGGUGCGUAAUGUAUGGGCAUCUGCCUGAUGGAGGGGGAUAACUACUGGAAACGGUAGCUAAUACCGCAUACCAUCAGAUGAACCCAUAUGGGAUUAGCUUGUAGGUGAGGUAACGGCUCACCUAGGCGACUAUCCCUAGCUGUUCUGAUAGGAUGAUCAGCAACACUGGAACUGAGACACAGCCCAGAGUCCUACGGGAGGCAGAAGUGGGGAAUAUUGCACAAUGGGCGCAAUCCUGAUGCAGCCAUGCCGCGUGUAUGAAGAAGGUCGUCGGGUUGUAAAGUAAUUUCAGUCGGGAGGGGUUACCCGCAGAAGAAGCACCGGCUAACUCCGUGCCAGCAGCCGCGGUAAUAC